rnacentral:lncRNA from 1 species
CAUCAAAUGGAACUUUCAAAUGGAAACCACUGCCACACAAAUGGGAAGGCCUCCAUUGAGAGCUUUUGCAUGGGAGACACUGGUACUAAAGCUGCUGCCGAUCCCCUCAACUGGAACAUGGCGGCGGAGUCCCUCAAGGGGAGUCACCUGGAUGAGGUGAAGCGGAUGGUGGAGGAGUACCGGAGGCAGGUGGUGCAGCUGGGCGGUGAGACGCUCACAAUAUCUCAGGUGGCCGCGGUGGCCUCCCGCGAUACUGGGGUGACGGUGGAGCUGUCGGAGGAGGCGAGAGAGGGAGUAAAGGCCAGCAGUGACUGGGUCAUGGACAGCAU